ensembl:lncRNA
CUGGGAAAGGAAGUCACCUCUUCGCUUACCACCCCUCAAUGUCCCUUCAGUGUCCCUGGCAGAGGCUGGAUCCUUGGGGUGCUCCCCCAGAUCUUCGGAGGGAGUCACGCCAUUCACCAUCUUCUGCUGCACCGACGGGGGCGGGGUGGGGGGCAGCGACGAGGGUGGUGUCGGCGGGUUACUCAGGUUAUUCUGAGGGGUGGGGUGGGUGUUGUGUACAAAAUGGCAUAGGGACACUUAUGUAAUCUCCUGGUCCCACACUAGUCAGCAAUUCCCUCCAGUUUUCCACCCGUUUCCACCUCCCUAAGAACUUCAUUAUUCCCAAAAGAUAUUGCCAUUUUUCUGACCUUGGUAAGCAGCUGGGAGUAGUAGUCAGGGCCAGUGGGCAGUGCCCCACUUCCAAAGGCCCCUCUCAGCUGGCUCUGCCCACUGAUUUGGCAGCCACUGCCAAAGGGAGCAAAGAGGCUAAAGUUGGCGGUGAUGGUAGGCUCCGUCAAGGGCAGCAGGGACAGCUCCUAAGAGGGGCAAGAUGAUCAAGUUGGAAACUUGCAGCGUUUGUACCUGUCAUUGCACGGCUGGGGGACAGGGUGCUCCCUAUCCUGGGAUGGGACCAGGGGACUGGCUCCUGGGGGUCACCUGUUUCAGCUGUUUCAGCAAGGCCUCGUUGGCCCUGACCCCGUCCUCCUUCCGCAGCUUCUUUCGGGAGCUCACCAACCUGUCGCUUGCCUUCUGUACCCGCUUGGGCUUUGGUGUCAAAGGCUUCCUUGCUGCUGCAUCCUAAGCCAGAUAAGCCCUGUGAAGGCUGCUGCUCUCAUCCUUAGAGACCUCACCCGUUGUCUGACCCAGACGUGUUUGCUCUGCUCCCGCCCUCCAGGACCCAUGCUGUCUGAUCCACUCUAACCAGAGUACUUACCUCCUUGUUGUUGGGGGUACCCUGUAGUUUCUGCUCCAGCCCGGCCAGCUUGCUGUCAAUGUGCCCGUUGAUCUCAGCUCGAAGCCCCUCAGGCCCCCGCCCAGCGCUGAGUUGCACAUUCUUUGCGCGUAGAAGCUUCUGCAAGAGCAGAUGCCCAGCCUCUGAGCGGGGGCCUGCCAGCAGGAGGUGGUUGCUGGUACCUGAUGCCCCUACUGGUUCCCCAUUGGCCUCCCUCUUCACCGCCUGGGCUCCCAGGGCACAUGGCUCUUCCCGAGGCUCCUGCUUGAUGCUGAGUUGGGGUGGCUCAGGUACCACCUGUCCAUUCACCUGCUCCAGAUGCCCAGGCACCAGGCUGCACUGCUCUGGCUUCUGGGCUUCUGCUAGGUUGUCUGGGGGGUCCCAAGGUCCCAGCCCCUUGCCAAAGAAGGUAUCCGAAAGCUGGGCAGCAGCAGGUGAGACCCUCCCAGGAGGCAGCUCCAAGGUUGGCCCCUGGGGCUUUGGGGUGUCUGGAUGGGUGUGGGUGAGCUGGGCACUGGGGGAAGGUAAUUGUGAAGAAGGUCUCUUUGGCUCUUGGGGACUGGGUGAUGGAGGUGUGGGAUGGACAGGGCCAACGCCUGGUCCUGUGGAUAAGGCUCCUUGUGGGGCAGAGAGCCGGAGUGGGCCCUGAGGUCGAGGUCCUGCCCCCAGCUCCUGAAGAGGGCCUGUCUGAGAUCCAGUGAAGCCCCCAGGUUGAGGUUGGCAGCCCAGGAGGCCCUGGAGGGGAGUGGGUUGGGUUCCAGGCUCCUGGUAGGGUGGAGUCUGGCGUACUGCCUGACUCUGCUGCAGCUGCCGCUGCAAGAGGAGGGCCUGUAGCUGCUGCUGCUGCUGAGGGCUCAAGUGCCGCAGCUGUGGGUUUUUGGCCAGGACUCCUUGGAGCUGUGCUCGAAGCUGACCCACUGUAGGCGUGACUCCAACCCCAGGUAGACCCUGCCCAGACUGGGGGACAGGUCCUGGUUUGGGAGGCUGUGCCCCUGCAUUAUUCUGCAUAGGCCGCUCUAGCCCAAGGGGCUGUUGGGGGCCCAGAACAUUCUGGGUCAUGGGCCCAGGCUGCUCCCCUAAGGAAACAGGGGGUUGGGCCAGCAGGUGGGGCAUAGAUGAGGCCUCAGAAGAUGAUCCACUGCCUAUUUGCCCAUGGUUUCCUACACCUGCUGAGUGGAGUAAGUUAACUUGCUGCUGUGGUUGUCCUGGGAGCCUCAAAGGUGGCUGCAGCUGCAAAGAGUUGGACUGAGGCUGGGCCUGGGGUUGGACAAGCAGAAGUUGUGAGUCCCCAGAGAGGGAGGGCUUUACCUCCCCUGGUUCCGUAGCCACUGACUCAGAUGCAGGACCUACUGUUAAUGGCCCUCCCUGAUGUGCUGAGGGCCCCUCAGUGACCUCUGAAGGAAGAGCCGUCUCUACAGUGUUUUGUUCCUUGCCCGUCAGAAGGAGGGUUGGGCCCAGGGCUCCGGGGCUAGAAAAGUGUUGAAGAGGCUUGGCUGGCAUGCCAGGGCCAAGUGUCACCUGCUGUUGCUGUUGCUGCUGAGGAGAUAACAAAGUUCGACUCUGAUUCAAGAGGCACAUCUGCUGUUGCUGUUGCUGUUGCUGUUGCUGUUGCUGCUGCUGCUGCUGCUGCUGUUGCUGCUGUUGCCUGCUGCUGUUGCUGCUGCUGUUGCUGCUGCCAUAGUUGCUGCUGUUGCUGCUGCUGUAAGGGCAGGGAUCCAGGAUAGGGCACUCGCUGAUAGAAGGCCUGGGAGCCUCCUACCAGUUGCCUGGAAGAACACACAGUAGUCAGUGAGAUAUAGUCAGGCUGGAGAGCUAAAAGAGGGGCUUGG